AAGGAAGAAGAAAAUUGUGCUUGGGAGUUUAAUGAAAGCGUGGUGAGGCCUGGUGGUGAUGAUCAGGAUAAGGAAAUAGAGUGGAGCAAGAGGCCAAGGCUUGGCUCAGAAGAAGAAAUUUAGUUUAGCAUCUGUGUCACUCUUUGUAUGACUACAAGCUAUAUGAAGGCUUGCCUCCCUUAUAAACUAUGGAGAUGGUCCCAUCUACUGCUGUUAGCAAAGUGUUACGUAGAGGAGGGGCAAAUAUAACUAAUUUCAGGAAGUAUCUUAAGGUGGGAUGUCAAGGUUUUGGGGCUUAGUUUGGAGUUGGAGAGAAAGGGGAAGAAAAUGGGCAGCUCACCAAGGAGGUGGUGGACACGGAUGCGGUGCAAUGAAACUAAAGUAUAUAUAUUCUAAGUAUAUGAGUUGGGCCCAGUUGUUGCUAUGCUGUGUCGGAUAGGGCAUCCUCCUAGCUCGAAGAGGAAGCCAAGUCAUCCUCCAAAGGCUGCUCCUGCUGGCGGUCCGGCUGCUGUUGCUGUGGUGGCAGCUGAAGCUUCAAGUGGCGACUCCUGUUCGUUGCUGUCUCUGAUCCUGCCACUGCCGUGACUGCAUUGCGGCCGGCACCCAUGGUUGUGCCUGCUAUUCAUCACAACCAGAAGAAUUUAGAAGAGCAUUUGGAGAAUACCAAUGUGGAUGAUUCUAGCUGCUGUUUGCAGUUUUUGCGGGUUUGAUAUUUACUUCUAAAUGAUGCAUUGAAGCUUUAUAAUAUAUAGAGCAUGAAGUGAUAAAUUAUCCAACACUGACAAUUCUAUGAUGAAAAUGCCAUGUCACUGACAUUUAGUAUUUUUGCGGAGCUGAUUGAGGAAAUGCGAAUUAAGUCAUGUUCUAUUGUGUUUGUUGCAUUUUUUUGCUCUGUCAAAGGCCUGUCCAUACAAGAUAUUCCCAUUGCAAUGACUUUUACUAUUGAAGUAGGACGUGAAACUCCAAUUCACAUGCAGCAGCAGCAACAAAGACAAAAAUUCUAGCAAAUGAGUAAGAGGAUCAAUUCUAAGAAAUGAGAACUUGCUUCUUUAAUGAUAGAAAAGCAGGCAGUCUCUUAGCAUGUAGGAUAAUCUCCUAUAUUUCUCAUACUGUUAAUGAAGGGUCUUAGAUAAAUACUUUUUGCUUAUCUUACUUCAUAGAAGUGUGUAUUUAUUUAUUUAUUUAUUUUAGUUUUUUGGAGACGUUCUGUGCUCUUUGUUGUUAUUACUUUUAAAGUGUUUUGAGUUUUAUUAUUUCAUUGUAUUACUUUGAAGUUGAAUCAUUCCAAUUAAAGUAAUUUUAGCCCUAAAAGCAUGAACUAGAAAAUGGUAACUUAGAAAUUUAGGAUAUAUAUGUUAUGCUCACCAAAGACAGGUUAUAGUCUUGUAUUUGUUAUUGGACCUAUAAAAAUAAUAGAAGGUUGAGGAUAACUCUUUGACUUUUUUUUCCAUGAAAGUAUUUACAGAC